rnacentral:rRNA from 1 species
CCUGGUAGUCCACGCCCUAAACGAUGUCAACUAGUUGUUGGGGAUUCAUUUCCUUAGUAACGUAGCUAACGCGUGAAGUUGACCGCCUGGGGAGUACGGUCGCAAGAUUAAAACUCAAAGGAAUUGACGGGGACCCGCACAAGCGGUGGAUGAUGUGGAUUAAUUCGAUGCAACGCGAAAAACCUUACCUACCCUUGACAUGGUCGGAAUCCUGCYGAGAGGCGGGAGUGCUCGAAAGAGAACCGGCGCACAGGUGCUGCAUGGCUGUCGUCAGCUCGUGUCGUGAGAUGUUGGGUUAAGUCCCGCAACGAGCGCAACCCUUGUCCUUAGUUGCUACGCAAGAGCACUCUAAGGAGACUGCCGGUGACAAACCGGAGGAAGGUGGGGAUGACGUCAAGUCCUCAUGGCCCUUAUGGGUAGGGCUUCACACGUCAUACAAUGGUCGGAACAGAGGGUUGCCAACCCGCGAGGGGGAGCUAAUCCCAGAAAACCGAUCGUAGUCCGGAUUGCACUCUGCAACUCGAGUGCAUGAAGCUGGAAUCGCUAGUAAUCGCGGAUCAGCAUGCCGC